GACGAACGCUGGCGGCGUGCCUAACACAUGCAAGUCGAACGAAGAAUGUUUUUCGGAAUAUUCUUAGUGGCGGACGGGUGAGUAACGCGUGAACAAUCUGCCCCGUACAAAGGGAUAGCCUCGGGAAACCGGGAUUAAAACCAUAUAACGCUUUAGUACCGCAUGGUAAUAAAGUCAAAUCGAUUAAGAGGUAUGGGAUGAGUUCGCGUCUGAUUAGCUAGUUGGUGAGGUAAGGGCUCACCAAGGCGACGAUCAGUAGCCGGCCUGAGAGGGUGAACGGCCACACUGGAACUGAGACACGGUCCAGACUCCUACGGGAGGCAGCAGUGGGGAAUAUUGCACAAUGGAGGGAACUCUGAUGCAGCGACGCCGCGUGAGUGAGGAAGGUUUUCGGACUGUAAAGCUCUGUCGAGCGGGAAGAAGUGUACCAUGGCUAAUAUCCAUGAUAUUUGACGGUACCGCUAGAGGAAGCACCGGCUAACUCCGUGCCAGCAGCCGCGGUAA
rnacentral:rRNA from 1 species